GUUUGUAUCACAGUGGUACACGUUUGGUGGAGGAACCAGACUGGAUGUUGGAAGUGAUACCCGCCCCGCCCUGAAGGUGCUGGGUCCCUCCAACAAGGAGCUGGAGAAUGGGAAGGCCACGCUCAUGUGUGUGGCCAACAAGGGCUUCCCCUCAGACUGGAGUCUGUCCUGGAAGACGAGCGACAGCAGUGGCAGCAGCAGCAUCAGAGGGGAGGAGAGCAGGACUCCUGGAGUGCUGCAGAAUGACGGCCUCUACAGCUGGAGCAGCACCCUGACGCUCACUGCAGACCAGUGGGGGAAGGUGGGCUCUGUGACCUGUGAGGCCACCCAGGGCUCCCAGACUCUGGUCUCAGAGAUACUGAGGAGAGACCAGUGUUCCCAGUCCUGCUGUCAAUCACUGAGUCUUUGAUGCUGUUUUUCUUUU